AUUGAACGCUGGCGGAAUGCUUUACACAUGCAAGUCGAACGGUAGAGGGGGCAACCCCUCGAGAGUGGCGAACGGGUGAGUAAUAUAUCGGAACGUGCCCAGUCGUGGGGGAUAACGUAGCGAAAGUUACGCUAAUACCGCAUACGAUCUAAGGAUGAAAGCGGGGGAUCGCAAGACCUCGCGCGAUUGGAGCGGCCGAUAUCAGAUUAGGUAGUUGGUGGGGUAAAGGCUCACCAAGCCAACGACCUGUAGCUGGUCUAAGAGGACGACCAGCCACACUGGAACUGAGACACGGUCCAGACUCCUACGGGAGGCAGCAGUGGGGAAUUUUGGACAAUGGACGCAAGUCUGAUCCAGCCAUUCCGCGUGCAGGAUGAAGGCCCUCGGGUUGUAAACUGCUUUUGUACGGAACGAAAAGGUCUCUCUUAAUACGGGGGACUCAUGACGGUACCGUAAGAAUAAGCACCGGCUAACUACGUGCCAGCCGCCGCGGUAA
rnacentral:rRNA from 1 species